CUAAAAUGCAUCCAGAAGCAAGUCGUGACACAGAAAUGCUAAGUGCUCCCCAAAACCAUUUUCUCUUUUCUCUGGACUCAACCUUAGACUACAUUUCCCAGCUUCUCUUGCAGUUAGUUGCGGUCAUGUGACUGCAUCUGGUGAAAUAGUUAUGACCAGCAGUAAUGCAGUAUUUCCUGGCCUGGACUGUGGAAACCUCCCACAAUCCUUUGUGUUCCCUCUCCCCAUUUAACACCCUGGAGGGAGAAUAGAGUAAGACAGAAGGAAAUUGGGCACUGAAUGAGCAUGCAAGCCUGCCAUUCAAUCAGACAUUCCUUUUGGGCUUUGAUGGCAUGAGAGACUUUUUGGAGGGUUGAAUUGCUAAAAUGGGCUACUUACCUAACUAAUGAAAAAUCUGGGCAGCAUACUGUGGCAUUUCUUCGGGUGGUAUUGUUUUUGGUUAAACAUGGUUUAACUCUGAAAGAAAUCCCAAACGAAUACAUCUCCAAGCUCCUUGUGGUGCUUUGAAUAUUAAGUUGCAGAUCAACAAGGUCGAGUUGCUGUUUCACUUGGGCUCAUACAUAUACGUGAGGACUUGGACAAGACAAGUGGGCUUCCUCAGGUCUGUAUAAUCCACCAGGCUAUUUUGUGCUUAUUCAUAUUUUGGGCUUAUUUAUAUUCAUAUGGCAAUAUGGACAGGGAUCCCAGAGAAUGAGCAGAGCACACAGGAUUUCCUGAGACCAAGAUCUGAAACUGGGUUACGUCACAUUUGCCACAUUCAGUAGGCCAAGUCAAGUCAGAGACCUGCCCAGAUUCAAGAGCUGGAGAAGUAGCUUUGGCUUCUUCAUGGAGGAAUUGCAAGUGACAUUGCAUGGGGUAUGGACACAGGGAAAGAAGGAAUACUGGGGUCACUUUUACAAUAAUAGUACCGCAGUGAACAAUCAUAUUCAAUCCCUAUUUUAUGGCAGGCACUGUGCUAGGGACUUUACCAACUUGGUCUCAUCAAAGAUCAGAGCAAUUCUAAGGGAUGGGGAAAGUGAGAAAUGGAGAUACCUAACUUGUGUACAAGCACACGGAUAUUAAGGGGUAAAUUCAGGUAAUAGUUCUGAUUCUCUCUAAAGCAUAUCUUUUUUCUACUCUUUCUCACACUGCUUCCUGCAAUUACUGGUCCCCCAAUCAUUUACUACUUGAAACGGAAUCAAUUCUACCACAGCAGGAAUCUGAAGAGUCGAGUGAGGUUAUAUGGUCUGAGAUUGCUGGGAGUGCUUGAUAGAAAUGAAGUGUUGGCUGUGUGAAAUUAACCUUUUAUAAGAGAGUGGUUACCAUCUGAGGGACCAGGAUUCCAAGUCUUCAAGGCCAAGGAGGCCUAAUGAACUCUGUUUCCAAGGGGUCAACAUUUGUAAGAGAGUGGGAGAUAAGACCGUGACUUCUAGACAUGACAAUCUUUGUCUGUAGAUGAGAUGUCUACAUCAUAGCCUAAUGGCCUCUCAUUGAUGUCAAGGGAGCUAAAACUAGGAUCUAUACUAGAGAAGGGGGUCACAGGCAUGAGGGUAGAGGUUUGUAGUUCCCUGGCUAAUUGGAGUUUCUUGAAUGGAAAUUGGGAAGAGAAUUGAAAGUUGAUGUGUACACAGACAUUUCCUAUUUUGAUUUUUUUUGUUUGUUUUUGCUUUGAGCUAUAUCUUGUACAUGCGGACAUUAAGUAAUUAUUUCUUGAGUCAUCAAGAUGAGGAUAUAACCUGAUACAACCAACACCUAGAGGACUAAAUUAUUAAGCUCAUGAGACAGGAGUGAGGGCCUCACCUCCCGUGGGCUGUUCCCAGUUGAGUGAGAACAGCACAGAUGUUAAGGGAAGCCCAUUUCCAGAAGUUGUGGAGGCUCCUCUGAUGAUUAAUUUUUAGCCUGAAGGCUCUGAGAUGCAGAGGGAAUCUGUAGCUUUACUACAUCUUGAGUCUGGGCUGGACUUGUGGCUGCUUUGAGGAAUCAAAAGCAGUGGGACUGAUGUGGGCAACUUCCAAGCUGAGGCCUCAAGAGACAUGAAGCUGGCACCACCACCCUCUGGCAACCACAUUGCUAAGUGAGAAAGCCUGAGUCAAUCAGGAGGAGGAACCACAUGGAGAAAAACACAGGGGCCUCAUCUAAAUGUCCCAGCCAACAGCUAGACAUCUGAGUGAGAACAUCUAGGACGAGCCGUUCCCCAGCAGACCUGUCACAUGACCAUAAACAGGAGUGAGACCAGCCAAAGCCACAGAGAGCAGGGAUGAUUCCUGUCCACACUGCCAAUCCACAGAAUGGGGCAAACAAAUAAUCUAUGCUACUGAAUUUUAGAGUGAUUUGUUAUGAGACAAUAUAUAAC